UGGAAGAGCAAGAUGACUUGCCCCAGGGGUGGCGGCCUCAGCCCGUCUGGCGCUUUCACCAUCACAAGGAGUUUAAACUCCGCUGUGGCCCCUGCGCCCCCCUCCCUCGCCCAGGUUAAUGACCGCGAUAAGACCUUGCUGCUACUGGGGGUCUCGCUGGAGGGUAACGGUGCGGUUAAGGGCGUGAGUAACGGCUUCUCACUGGGCUCUGAGCGCCAGGCAGGACUCUGGCCUGGGUGGCGCAGGGUCCCCCGCAGGGACCUGAGGUGUCUUCCAGGGUGCACUCUGUGUUGCUGGGCUUUCUUCUUCUUCCUUCAACCCUUGGUCUCAGUGUAGAGGUCAUCUCCUUGGGGACCUGGCCAUCCUGUCUACAGUACGCGUCUCUGUCCCCCAGUUUUCUCUUAAUUAUGUCUCUUUCCUUCACCAGACACAGGCUCCGUGGGUGGGGGCUGAGCCAGAGGAGCAGUCUGUGACCCCUGAUGCUUCUCCGUGCACUCCGGGUCCCCGCUGUGGUUAGCUGUGCUUUGUCCCCGAAAGAAAACCGAAUUACAAGAUCUUGACGCAUAAAGAAAGGAGUCCAAGAGUGCGCAGCCCAAUCCAGACAGGCCAGAAGGAAUUAUUACAGAAGCGUGUUAGGACGGUGGCCCUUCUGGAGCGUCUGUAGUGACCGAUCUGUGGUUCACCCCGUCCCCGACGCGCCGAGGCUCCACGCGCCGAGGCUCGACUCACAAGCCUUCGACUCACAAGCC